rnacentral:rRNA from 1 species
UCGGGAAUUUUGGGCAAUGGGCGAAAGCCUGACCCAGCAACGCCGCGUGAAGGAUGAAGUAUUUCGGUAUGUAAACUUCGAAAGAAUAGGAAGAAUAAAUGACGGUACUAUUUAUAAGGUCCGGCUAGGUACGUGCCAGCAGCCGCGGUAAUACGUAGGGACCAAGCGUUGUUCGGAUUUACUGGGCGUAAAGGGCGCGUAGGGCGGCAAUUCAAGUCAUCUGUGAAAUCUCCGGGCUUAACUCGGAACGGUCAGAUGAUACUGCUUUGCUAGAGUGCAGAAGGGGCAAUCGGAAUUCUUGGUGUAGCGGUGAAAUGCGUAGAUAUCAAGAGGAACACCUGAGGUGAAGACGGGUUGCUGGGCUGACACUGACGCUGAGGCGCGAAAGCCAGGGGAGCAAACGGGAUUAGAUACCCCAGUAGUCCCUGAGCGGGCUGGCAAGGCGCAU